rnacentral:snRNA from 22 species
CCACUUACCUUGUCGAAUCGUGCCCGCUCAUGAAUGGGCUUCGGUCUAGACGAGAAUCUGCAUUGCACACUGCGGUAUUCGAGUCAGUGCAUCUCCUGCGGGGGCGGCAUCGGCGCAAUUUGUGAGUGCAUC